GCUAAACGCGAAGAACCUUACCUGGGUUUGACAUACGCAGGACGACAUCAGAGAUGGUGUUUCCCUUGUGGUCUGUGUACAGGUGGUGCAUGGCUGUCGUCAGCUCGUGUCGUGAGAUGUUGGGUUAAGUCCCGCAACGAGCGCAACCCUUGUUCCAUGUUGCCAGCGCGUAAUGGCGGGGACUCAUGGGAGACUGCCGGGGUCAACUCGGAGGAAGGUGGGGAUGACGUCAAGUCAUCAUGCCCCUUAUGUCCAGGGCUUCACACAUGCUACAAUGGCCGGUACAAAGGGCUGCGAUGCCGUGAGGUGGAGCGAAUCCUUUCAAAGCCGGUCUCAGUUCGGAUCGGGGUCUGCAACUCGACCCCGUGAAGUCGGAGUCGCUAGUAAUCGCAGAUCAGCAACGCUGCGGUGAAUACGUUCCCGGGUCUUGUACACACCG
rnacentral:rRNA from 1 species